rnacentral:tRNA from 1 species
UCUUCCGUUCGUCUAAGCGGAUAAGACACGGGCCUUCUAAGCCUGAAAUGAAGAUUCGAGUUCUUCACGGAAGACCAG